CCUACGGGAGGCAGCAGUGGGGAAUAUUGCACAAUGGGGGAAACCCUGAUGCAGCAACGCCGCGUGAGUGAAGAAGUAUUUCGGUAUGUAAAGCUCUAUCAGCAGGGAAGAAGAUGACGGUACCUGAUUAAGUAGCCCCGUCUAACUACGUGCCAGCAGCCGCGGUUAUACGGCGGGUGCAAGCGUUGUCCGGAAGCAUUGGGCGUAAAGAGUUCGUAGAGGGCAUAUUAAGUCUGGUGUUAAAUGCAGAAGCUCAACUUCUGUUCGGCACUGGAUACUGGUAAGCUUGAAUGCGGUAGAGGUAAAGGGAAUUCCUGGUGUAGCGGUGAAAUGCGUAGAUAUCAGGAGGAACAUCGGUGGCGUAAGCGCUUUACUGGGCCGUAAUUGACACUGAGGAACGAAAGCCGGGGUAGCAAAUGGGAUUAGAUACCCCUGUAGUC
rnacentral:rRNA from 1 species